UAAAAGUGCAGGCAGGGUCAUCCUGUACUGGCCACAGCAUGGUUGCGAUAGAAAUAUUAAGCGUAAUUUAAGUACGCCGUCCUUGCUGGAUUCCUUGGCAAAGGGAAUUUACAUAGACU
rnacentral:sRNA from 19 species